rnacentral:rRNA from 1 species
UCCAGACUCCUACGGGAGGCAGCAGUGGGGGAUAUUGCACAAUGGGGGGAACCCUGAUGCAGCGACGCCGCGUGGGCGAGGAAGUAUUUCGGUAUGUAAAGCCCUAUCGGCAGGGAAGAAGAAAUGACGGUACCUGAAUAAGAAGCACCGGCUAAAUACGUGCCAGCAGCCGCGGUAAUACGUAUGGUGCAAGCGUUAUCCGGAUUUACUGGGCGUAAAGGGAGCGCAGGCGGCGCGCCAAGUCUGAUGUGAAACCCCGGGGCUCAACCCCGGGCAUGCAUUGGAAACUGGCGGGCUGGAGUGCCGGAGAGGUAAGCGGAAUUCCUAGUGUAGCGGUGAAAUGCGUAGAUAUCAGGAGGAACACCGGUGGCGAAGGCGGCCUGCUGGACUGCGACUGACGUUGAGGCCCGAAAGCGUGGGGAGCAAACAGGAUUAGAUACCCCGGUA